GACGUAGGGUCCAAGCGUUGUCCGGAUUUACUGGGCGUAAAGAGCGCGUAGGCGGUCUGUUAAGUGAGAAGUGAAAUCUCCAGGGCUCAACCCGGAAACUGCUUUUCAUACUGACAGACUAGAGGAAUGCAGAGGUAAGUGGAAUUCCUGGUGUAGCGGUGAAAUGCGUUGAUAUCAGGAGGAACACCCAUGGCGAAGGCAGCUUACUGGGCAUUAUCUGACGCUGAGGCGCGAAAGCGUGGGUAGCAAACAGG
rnacentral:rRNA from 1 species